AGAGUUUGAUCCUGGCUCAGGAUGAACGCUGGCGGCGUGCCUAACACAUGCAAGUCGAGCGGUAAGGCCUCUUCGGAGGUACACGAGCGGCGGACGGCUGAGUAACACGUAGGAACGUACCCCAAAGUGAGGCAUAAGCACCAGAAAUGGUGUCUAAUACCGCAUAUGGCUCAGGGUAAAGUCUUCGGACGCUUUGGGAACGGCCUGCGCAUGAUUAGCUUGUUGGUGAGGUAAUAGCUCACCAAGGCGACGAUCAUUAGCUGGUCUGAGAGGGAUGAUCA
rnacentral:rRNA from 1 species